rnacentral:lncRNA from 1 species
UUUUCUCUUUCAUAGACUUUCGACAGUAGUUCUUCAAAAAGCUUGAAAAUUUGAACUAGAAAGAAAUACAAAGAAGUUGGAUAAAUGCUGGGUGAAGUUGGUCUGAUGAUCUUUUUUUCCUAAGAAGAUCAGCUCCCUUAAUGUUCCUGCAAUGCUCCUCCGAUUCUGAUUACAGGGCAUUCUGCUCUCCUUAGACAAGCAGAGUUAAAUGCAUUGGUGGAUCUGCAUGUGAAUGAGGCAAUGACACACACGAGUUUGGAGCAGAAUCACAGCCAAAAGAGGCUGAGGAAAGUGUGCUCCGUGUUGUGACAAAGCUAAUGUCAAAAAAGGACAGUGGUCUCCUGAGGAAGAUGAAGCUAAGUCUUGACACUCAUGGAACUGGUGGCAAUUGGAUUCAUCUGCCACAAAAAGCUGGCUUUUAGGUUCUGCAACAAGAAUCGAGUUGACCGCAUUAAGAACGCGUGGUUUUCUAAUAAAGAAGCCAAGCUGCCGAAAUCGCAGAAAUUCACCCCUGAAUUUGAAAAGUCAGUUCAUCAACGCGCAGACACUACUAGCUAACAAACCUACUACUUCUUACUGUACCAAAAAAAUGAAAAUUCAGCAUCCUUCAGAUUCAUAUAAAAGCUGUCUUGCUGCCUUGAUAAUUACAGAUUAAGCAAUAUCAGUAUAUCAAAGAUACAAAACAAAUUGCUUCUAAAACCUCAAAAGGUUCUCUUACAAAUCUGGUGUGGGAAUGUCCUUCUGUGAUUUUGAUCAUUGAUUUAUUUGUAUUAUCCUCCAACACUGUGGCACUCAGAGUGAUAACUCGGUCAGCUAUGAGUAGAUGUAUAGCAGCCUGCUUCAAUGCUCAUGUUGUGAAGUUUUUAGUCACACAAAGGUGCUGGACUUGGGAACUUUGAGAUCUUUUUUCACAUGUUUGUUAUAGGAGAGAUCUUCUAUCAUUGUUGUGUCUGAAAUCUCUUUCUUUGAGAAAGGCAGCACUUUUGAAAAUUGUUUUUGUUAUUUCCUGCAAAGGAAGAGGCAGUGACAGAUAAUUAAUUUGAAUGCUGUAAAAUAUGAUGUAAUAAACAUGUAAAAUGUUUGUCAUUAAUGAAAUCGAUAUCU